UCCAAUUCACAAAGGAGUCAAGACAUCAUUCCUCAAUCUCUUUGGUCCUCAUUGGGGAAAAAUAAAAGAGAAACAACAUCAAGAACAUAUUAUGGGCAAGGUGAAGCUUUCCUUUCGCCUCCCUCCUCCAUCUCCACCUUGCCCACCACCACCCACUUCAGUCUGUCAUUUCUGAGAGCAUGACAAAAACAACAGGUCAGUUUCAUUUAAUUAUACUUUAUACAAAUAAAUCUGACUGUGUUUAAAUGGAAAUGCUUUCUCUAGCUUCAGCUCCUUCCCUUUCCAUCUUCCAUCUUCUCUCCCCACAGAACACAUCAGCAUCUCAGAUGGAGAUCUGGUGUGAGGAGCCUGAGUCCCUCUUUAAAAAAAAAAAAAAAAAGAAUAAUGACCCAUUCUAAUUUUUGGUUUAUACUUAGAUUCUGCCUCUGUUUCAGACCUUUCCUCAUUUAAGUCCAUCAUUGUUAAUGCGGUACAAGAACUUUUGUGCAGACAGAAAAUAUAUAGUCCCAAACCCCUGCAUCCUUGGGGAAGCUGAGCAUAUUUAUGAAACAAGACAUAAUUUCUCUACUAGACCUCCCCAUAGAGUUGUCCAGAAAUGUGGUAGAACUAUCUAAUAAACGCCCAAUUUGUUCAGUGAAAAUGUAGCAUUUUAUUGAUAGGAACUGGUGCCACCUGGUAUUUAAAGAUGCCUUCCCUUCUACUUUUCUUCUUCCUCCUCCUCUGGGCUAAAUCAUCUAACCCACCACCUCAGCCAGCUAUGACUUGGAAAAGGUUCUGCCUCUGCCCUUCACCCUUGGAAACAUAAAUAGUCCUGGCGGUCCAACCUGUGUGUGUGUUUCCUUAAGUGUAUGUACAUGCAUAUGUGCUUAUGCAAGUUACUUUUAAUAAGCCAUCUAAUAUCUUUGGUUACAGCUAAGGAUUACAGAAAUAGCUUCAACUAAAAUGGCCAGCAGAGGAGGAAUAAGGUGUACCCUAACAAGUGCAGAGAAAAGAGGCUCUCAGUUUCCUUCAGUCUCAGCUCACUGAUUGACUCACCAUCAGGGCCCACACAGCUCCUGCUGAGAAAAGCUGUGACAACUGAGAGGGCGGAGGAGAGAGAGAAGAAGUAGAGAGCAAAGGGGAGGGGAGAGAAGAAGAAGAGAAAUGAAGGAAAAGGAUAGGAGAAAAAGAGAAGGAAAGAGAGAAAAGUAAAGGAAGAAAGUGGUAGAGAGCAGAGAAGGGGAAAUGAGGGGAGAUGAAGGAAAAGAGGAGAGAAGAGGAGGGGAGAGAAAGAAAGAGGAGGAGGAGAAAAAAGAGAGGGGAAGAGAAGAGAGAAGAAAGA